GGUAGGAUGGCUGAAACAGUGGUAGGUUGUAGCCCUAUAAAUAGAGGUUUAAGUCCUCUUCCUGUCA
rnacentral:tRNA from 1 species